rnacentral:lncRNA from 1 species
UUCAAAUACAUUUAAAAUUUAAAAGGAAAACUUGUUUCAAGACUGUUUGUUUGGUUGAGAUUGUUUGUGUAAUUUUUGGGGUUCCGCAUCACCUAAACCCUUAAGGCCCAAAAUAACAUUCCAUGCACAAGCCUUCUCUUCCAACAGCAAUAACUCCCUUGAUUCUUAUGGGUUUUCAGCCCAUUUUAGCUUCACUUUCUGUUCAUGG